CCCCAAUGCUCCUGUAAGUCGCUCUGAAUAAGAGCAUCUGCUAAAUGACUUAAA
rfam:Salmo salar isolate Sally breed double haploid chromosome ssa25, whole genome shotgun sequence.